rnacentral:sRNA from 1 species
CGUCACCGCCCUUCUGGGCGUUUCCUCCCUAGACUUGGGCCGGGCUUGUCCUGGCCCUUUUUUUUUGAGGGA